rnacentral:rRNA from 1 species
CGAACGCUGGCGGCGUGCUUCACACAUGCACGUCGAACGGAAAGGCCCUGCUUGCAGGGUACUCGAGUGGCGAACGGGUGAGUAACACGUGGGUGAUCUGCCCUGCACUUCGGGAUAAGCCUGGGAAACUGGGUCUAAUACCGGAUAGGAGCCAUUUUUAGUGUGAUGGUUGGAAAGUUUUUUCGGUGUAGGAUGAGCUCGCGGCCUAUCAGCUUGUUGGUGGGGUAAUGGCCUACCAAGGCGGCGACGGGUAGCCGGCCUGAGAGGGUGGACGGCCACAUUGGGACUGAGAUACGGCCCAGACUCCUACGGGAGGCAGCAGUGGGGAAUAUUGCACAAUGGGCGCAAGCCUGAUGCAGCGACGCCGCGUGGGGGAUGACGGCCUUCGGGUUGUAAACUCCUUUCGCUAGGGACGAAGCUUUUUGUGACGGUACCUAGAUAAGAAGCACCGGCUAACUACGUG